GUGAAGCGGCAAUAGCUCAAAUUUGAAAUCUGGCUCUUUUAGGGUCCGAGUUGUAAUUUGCAGAGGGCGCUUUGGCGUUGGCAGCGGUCCAAGUUCUUUGGAACAGGACGUCACAGAGGGUGAGAAUCCCGUACGUGGUCGCUAUCCUUCGCCGUGUAAAGCCCCUUCGACGAGUCGAGUUGUUUGGGAAUGCAGCUCUAAAUGGGAGGUAAAUUUCUUCUAAAGCUAAAUACUGGCCAGAGACCGAUAGCGCACAAGUAGAGUGAUCGAAAGAUGAAAAGCACUUUGGAAAGAGAGUUAAAUAGCACGUGAAAUUGUUGAAAGGGAAGCGCUUGCAGCCAGACUUGCCUGUAGUUGCUUAUCUAGACUUUUGUCUAGUGCACUCUUCUGCGGGCAGGCCAGCAUCAGUUUGGGCAGUUGGAUAAAGGUCUCUGUCAUGUACCUCUCUUCGGGGAGGCCUUAUAGGGGAGACGACAUGCAACUAGCCUGGACUGAGGUCCGCGCAUCUGCUAGGAUGCUGGCGUAAUGGCUGUAAGCGGCCCGUCUUGAAACACGGACCAAGGAGUCUAACAUCUAUGCGAGUGUUUGGGUGUCAAGCCCAGACGCGUAAUGAAAGUGAACGGAGGUGGGAACCUUUUAGGUGCACCAUCGACCGAUCCUGAUGUCUUCGGAAGGAUUUGAGUAAGAGCAUGGCUGUUGGGACCCGAAAGAUGGUGAACUAUGCUUGAAUAGGGUGAAGCCAGAGGAAACUCUGGUGGAGGCUCGCAGCGGUUCUGACGUGCAAAUCGAUCGUCAAAUUUGGGGCAUAGGGGCGAAAGACUAAUCGAACUAUCU
rnacentral:rRNA from 1 species